rnacentral:rRNA from 1 species
UUAAGUCGACCGCCUGGGGAGUACGGCCGCAAGGUUAAAACUCAAAUGAAUUGACGGGGGCCCGCACAAGCGGUGGAGCAUGUGGUUUAAUUCGAUGCAACGCGAAGAACCUUACCUGGUCUUGACAUCCACGGAAGUUUUCAGAGAUGAGAAUGUGCCUUCGGGAACCGUGAGACAGGUGCUGCAUGGCUGUCGUCAGCUCGUGUUGUGAAAUGUUGGGUUAAGUCCCGCAACGAGCGCAACCCUUAUCCUUUGUUGCCAGCGGUCCGGCCGGGAACUCAAAGGAGACUGCCAGUGAUAAACUGGAGGAAGGUGGGGAUGACGUCAAGUCAUCAUGGCCCUUACGACCAGGGCUACACACGUGCUACAAUGGCGCAUACAAAGAGAAGCGACCUCGCGAGAGCAAGCGGACCUCAUAAAGUGCGUCGUAGUCCGGAUUGGAGUCUGCAACUCGACUCCAUGAAGUCGGA